rnacentral:rRNA from 1 species
AUGGGGCAUCACUCUUGCUGCAACCAGCAGAAGGUGAAGGGGGGCCUGUGGUCUCCUGAGGAGGAUGAGAAGCUCGUCCGGUACAUCACCACCCAUGGCUAUGGCUGCUGGAGCGAGGUCCCCGAGAAAGCCGGAUUGCAGCGGUGUGGGAAGAGCUGCCGGCUGCGGUGGAUCAACUACCUGAGGCCCGACAUCCGGCGAGGGCGGUUCUCGCCGGAGGAGGAGAAGCUCAUCAUCAGCCUCCACGCCAUUGUUGGCAACAGGUGGGCCCACAUUGCCAGCCACUUGCCUGGCCGGACCGACAACGAGAUCAAGAACUACUGGAACUCGUGGAUCAAGAAGAAGAUACGCAAGGCUCCGGCGGCGCCGAACGUAACCACCACCUCGUCCACGACGUCGACGAGCCCACCUAACAACGGCCUGGCACCGUGCAGCGGCAGCACGGCCACGUCGGACGUCCACCACCGCCGUCUGCAGCAUCCGACGUUCAGCUGCGCGCCAGCGGGGGACCACCUGCAGCUCGACGCCAUCAUCGGCCACCACCAGAGCACCAGCCUAGCCCUGCCGGUUGCCGCCGGGGCCGGGCAGGACUCGCCGCCAGGAAUGUCGCAUCACUGCCCGCUCUUCAUGUUCGACACCGGCGUCGUCAGCACGCCGUUCGCAUCAGCCGCGGCGCAGCAGCACCCGUUCAUCGCCAGCUUCACGGCAGCGAUGGCGGAAGCGGACACGCCCAGUUGCUACCACCUACCUCCCUUGGUGGACGGCAUGGGUGCCAUGGGAAUGUGCAUGGAAGCCAUGGACGAUCACUGCGGCGCCGGCGCCGGCAUGGGCAAUGGGUGCUUCGGGGACGAGCAGAGGCAGCGGCGGCGGCCGGGGCUGGAGGAGGAGGAGGGGGAGCAGCUAGGGCAGCAUGAGCAGUGGGACGAGGAGCAGCUGCUGAUGUGGGAUGAUCAAGAAGUACUAACACCGUCCAACAUGGAGGCCAUGCAAAGUGGUGAACACUCCCUCCUUUUUAUGGGACCAAACGCAUGA